rnacentral:rRNA from 1 species
CCCUUAGAUGUUCUGGGCUGCACGCGCGCUACAAUGGCGUUUUCAAAAAGAUUGCUAAUCCGAAAGGACCAGCGGAUCUUCGAAGUGGCGUCGUGAUUGGGACAGUUGAUUGCAAUUAUUCGACUCGAACGAGGAAUUCCUUGUAAUCGUGCGUCAUCAGCGCACGCUGAAUACGUCCCUGUUCUUUGUACACACCGCCCGUCGCUCCUACCGAUCGAGCGAUCCAAUGAAUGUUUCGGAGCGGAACUGAGAUGCUAAUGCGUCUCUUUUACGCGAAUUUGUGUGAAUUUGAUCGCUUAGAGGAAGGAGAAGUCGUAACA